CGGUGGUGAUUGCGAUAAGGUCACACCCGUUCCCAUCCCGAACACGGAAGUUAAGCUUAUCUGCGCCGAUGGUACUGCACGGGCAGCUGUGUGGGAGAGUAGGACGCCGCCGGAUU
rnacentral:rRNA from 1 species